rnacentral:lncRNA from 1 species
CAAGGCUAGAUUUCUCCUGUUGAGAGCCCAGCCUGAUAACAACAGAAGAAAAUUAAAAAAAAGACACUUUUCUUGGUAUUUUUUUCCAGAGUUUUUGGGUGGAGAUUUCAAGAAAAUCUUGAAACCAAAAACUAAACUUGACAGAAUAAGAGACCAAGAAACUGAGAGCCUUUGGCUAUUGGCAAAGAGGAGAGAAAAGGAAGGAGAAAAAGAGAGGGGUUAAAGAAGGUGUUUUGGUUGGGAUUUUAUAGAAGAAAAAAGUGGGUGAC